rnacentral:rRNA from 1 species
UACGUAGGGGGCGAGCGUUGUCCGGAAUCAUUGGGCGUAAAGAGCGUGUAGGCGGGCCGGCAGGUCUGGUGUGAAAGCCCGGGGCUCAACCCCGGAGGGUCACCGGAAACCGACGGUCUUGAAUCUGGAAGAGGAGAGUGGAAUUCCUGGUGUAGCGGUGGAAUGCGCAGAUAUCAGGAGGAACACCAAUGGCGAAGGCAGCUCUCUGGUACAUGAUUGACGCUGAGACGCGAAAGCGUGGGGAGCGAACAGG